rnacentral:rRNA from 1 species
UCCGUAGGUGGAUAAUUAAGUCAGAGGUGAAAUCCUGCAGCUCAACUGUAGAAUUGCCUUUGAUACUGGUUAUCUUGAGUUAUUAUGAAGUAGUUAGAAUAUGUAGUGUAGCGGUGAAAUGCAUAGAUAUUACAUAGAAUACCAAUUGCGAAGGCAGAUUACUAAUAAUCAACUGACACUGAUGGACGAAAGCGUGAGGAGCGAACAGGAUUAGAUACCCUGGUAGUCC